GGGGAAUAUUGCACAAUGGGCGAAAGCCUGAUGCAGCAACGCCGCGUGAGCGAGGAAGGCCUUUGGGUCGUAAAGCUCUGUCGAGAAGGAAGAUAAUGACGGUACUUCUCGAGGAAGCCCCGGCUAACUACGUGCCAGCAGCCGCGGUAAUACGUAGGGGGCGAGCGUUAUCCGGAAUUAUUGGGCGUAAAGAGUGCGUAGGUGGUUGUUUAAGCGUGUGGUGAAAGGCAAUAGCUCAACUAUUGUAAGCCUCGCGAACUGGACGACUUGAGUGCAGGAGAGGAAAGCGGAAUUCCUAGUGUAGCGGUGAAAUGCGUAGAUAUUAGGAGGAACACCAGUGGCGAAGGCGGCUUUCUGGACUGUAACUGACACUGAGGCACGAAAGCGUGGGGAGCAAAC
rnacentral:rRNA from 1 species